rnacentral:rRNA from 1 species
GAUGAACGCUAGCGACAGGCCUAACACAUGCAAGUCGAGGGGCAUCGGGACGUAGCAAUACGUUGCCGGCGACCGGCGGAUGGGUGAGUAACGCGUAUGCAACCUACCCGUAGCAGGGGGAUAGCCCGUUGAAAGACGGAUUAAUACCCCGUAACACAGGGGCUCCGCAUGGAGAUUAUUGUUAAAGGGUCAUUUCUUUUUCAGGGAUGGUCCGGCUGCGGAUGGGCAUGCGUUCCAUUAGGUAGUUGGUGUAGGUAACUGCUCACCAAGCCGACGAUGGAUAGGGGAACUGAGAGGUUGGUCCCCCAACUGGUACUGAGACACGGACCAGACUCCUACGGGAGCAGCAGUGAGGAAUUUUGGCAAUGGACGCAAGUCUGAACCAGCCAUGUCGCGUGAAGGAGGACGGCCCUAAGGGUUGUAAACUUCUUUGCAGUGGAAUAAAGUUUGCCACGUGUUGGCGAUUUGCAAGUACGCUGCGAAUAAGGAUCGGCUAACUCCGUGCCAGCCCG